rnacentral:rRNA from 1 species
CCUACGGGGGGCAGCAGUGAGGAAUAUUGGUCAAUGGGCGAGAGCCUGAACCAGCCACGUAGCGUGAAGGAUGACUGCCCUACGGGUUGUAAACUUCUUUUAUAAAGGAAUAAAGUGAGGCACGUGUGCCUUUUUGUAUGUACUUUAUGAAUAAGGAUCGGCUAACUCCGUGCCAGCAGCCGCGGUAAUACGGAGGUUCCGAGCGUUAUCCGGAUUUAUUGGGGUUAAAGGGAGCGUAGAUGGGUGUUUAAGUCAGUUGUGAAAGUUUGCGGCUCAACCGGAAAAUUGCAAUUGAUAAUGGCAGUCUUGAGUACAGUUGAGGUAGGCGGAAUUCGUGGUGUAGCGGUGAAAUGCUUAGAUAUAACGAAGAACUCCGAUUGCGAAGGCAGCUUACUAAACUGUCACUGACAUUGAUGCUCGAAAGUGUGGGUAGCAAACAGGAUUAGAUACCCCAGUAGUC